CUAGUGCACUAGGUUGGGAAUAUGGUGUCAUUUGGGACAUCUCUUUCCCUCAAGUCUGUACACAUUUACCAACUUCAUCUUCUCCAUCCCUCUCUCCACAGUCUGAGGGGAAAGUACUGUAAUACCCUGUGUAUAUAGCCUCCAAAGAGGGCUUAAAAACCUAACUUCUCUCCUCCCAUCUACCACUAGUGUUAAACAGAACAGGGCUCUCUAGCGCCCCUUGUGGCUGUAAGGCCGAGUGCAGCUCUGUACGGUAUACAGCAGCAGAGCCGAUAGGCUAGCUCUCAGCGGAGAGGGAGGGGUCUGAGUGUUGUCUUGACCAUCCCAGAAGGGUAAUAUGCAGUAAUGUUUCUAGAUAACUCUUUACACACCUUAAUGCAGCCUCGUUCUAAUGAAUCCUCUUUCCUUUCUGGCAAACUGUAAUUGAGCAUUAAGGAGGGAGGGGGGGCGGGGAGGGGGUGGUAUAUGACCAAUAUACCACGGCUCAGGGCUGUUCUUAGGCACGAUGUAUCGCAGAGUAUACAGCCCUUAGCUGUGGUAUAUUGGCCAUAUAUCACAACCCCCCAAGGUGCCUUAUUGCUGUUAUAAACUGGUUAUAAAUAUAACAGUAAAAUACAUGUACGGUCUGAUACCAGGGCUUUCAGGGCUCGACCACCUGGUUUCUAAUCCUCCUUUCUCUAAGUGAUGUUGAUGGAGCGUUAGGUUCCAGCUGAAGCAUGGUGACUGUCGGGGUUCGUCCCGUUCACUAUCUAGGGAACCGGGUGCCAUCUGAGACCGUCCUGGGUAUAGAACGAGGUUUGUUUUGAGUUUGUCGUGUUCUCUGCACGGCCAGGCGACGCUGAACUAUCAGUCGCUGUGUGUUGUUUUUCAAAUGAAGAUAAACGUAGAUUUAUUUUCAGAUCUUUUGUUUCUUGGUUGGUCUCUUUUCAUUCCAGCUGCUAACAAUGUCAUUUUCAUCUCUUUCCACAUUCCGUGUGUUUUCAUGGUUCCACAGUCCGUGUGUUUUCAUGGUUCCACAGUCCGUGUGUUUUCAUGGUUCCACAGUCCGUGUGUUUUCAUGGUUCCACAGUCCGUGUGUUUUCAUGGUUCCACAGUCCGUGUGGUUCCACAUUCCGUGUGGUUCCACAUUCCGUGUGGUUCCACCUGCUUGAUCAUGAACCUCUCCAUAGCGCUGUUAGACACCAUGCCAGCUCCAGGAGGAGCCGGACGGUUCCUGAUUAACGUCUGCUUGUUGCUGGUCAUAGCCUUAAUUAGCAGUGAAACUGAUGCAGGGUAUUUACAGUCAAUGGACCUGAGUUGUAUGUAUUAA
rnacentral:lncRNA from 13 species